CGAAAGUAUGACUACAUAUCUCAUUCUCAGGACCAUACAAAACAUGAAGGAAUAGCACUGUGGACUGAACUGCUUCCAUCUCAGAUCUGUGUACCGAACCCUAAUUCUCAGCACGACUGCACUUGGAGAUAAGGCUGGUAAAAUUGGUUAACUUGGGGGAGUCAUCAGAGAGCUUACUCCCUCCACCAUGUGAGGACUGAGCAACAAGGCAGCCAUCUGAGAGCCAGGAAAAAGCCUCACAGGGAACUGAGUAAUCUAUUGCCUUGAUCUUGGACUAGAAAUUAUUAAAACAAAACAAAACAAAAAAAUUCCUAUUGUUUUGUGGUCUGUGGUAUUUUGUCAGACAACCUGAGGCUAUAGAAGCCACGCCUACUUGGCGAGCAUAUCAAAGUCUCUCAAACAUAUCUUGCAAGAUGCAUCCUAGUUUGAAAACUUAAGUUUCUAAGGUAUUUUAAUAUUUUUUUGUAAACUCUACUAAAAUAUCUCAUUUAGUAAAAUUUAAUAUUGUCAUUCACAUUCAGGUAUAGUAGCUCAAAGGAGGAUCAUCACAAAUCCACAUACAGAUCUCAGCUUAAGCUUCCUCGUGAGCCCGAAUGGAAGGCUGCUUCUCUCUGCUCCGUGGUCCAGGGACAGGAGUUCCCCACUGGUUUCUGCACAAGGAUUCUCCAGUACCCGGAUCCACGUUUUCCAGUUGGAAAGACAUACAGCUGUCCACACGUGAAAACCACCAUUUUGCCUGUCUACAGCCAGUACUCAGCCCAGCUGCGAGCUCUCUUCAAGCCACCCUGGAAACAGGCUUUCAGACAUGCUGUUCACGGUAUGCGCAACAGGAACCUUGCCUUUUCCCGGUCCAUACUCCACCUUAAUCCCUUCACUCUCCCUGUUGUAAAGGAACUGAAUGGGUCUGCUCCCCCACUACCACUCUUGGCUGCCAUUAACAUCCGGCCUGAGGAAAGAGCACCAUGGGAAAUGAACCCUGGACGUUGCAGAAUAGAUCUGCUCAAGUGGCUCUCAUCAUCCGGGACAUAGUUCCUUUCUGUUUGUUCAGAAGGAAGGGAGGGCUUGUCUGUCUGUCUGUCUGUCUGUCUAGGAAGGUCCUAGAGCCAUGGCUUCUAAAUGAGGUGCACACAGGGGAGAAUUUCUGUCGAAAUAAAAUGACUUGCAUCGUUAGUGAGAAAUACA
rnacentral:lncRNA from 1 species